GCGUGAUAAUUCGCCCUUUAAUUGUGGGCUUGUAUGAACGGAUAAACGAGAAACUCACUGUCUCAAAAUUACAAAUAAAAUUUAGCAUUCAGGUGAAGAGACCUGAAUCCAAAUAAAGGACAAGAAGACCCCGUAGAGCUUUGUCCUAAAAUUUAUUAUAAUUUACUUAUUCAUAAACCUUUAUAAUAUUUAAUAUGGGCUUGGCUGGGGCGGCAAAGGAAAAUCAUCUUCCAUUUUCAUCUUUAUGCUUUAUAGGAUAAUAUUCCUUAAAAAUUGACCCUUAUAAGAACAAAAACAACAGCUACCUCGGGGGUAACAGACUAAUCCUUCUUGAGAGUCCGCAUUGACAGAAGGGG
rnacentral:rRNA from 1 species